UGCUUUAUAAUUUAAUGGUAAAAUUUUAUACUUCUAAUAUAACAAUUUAGGUUCGAUUCCUAAUAAGGCAU
rnacentral:tRNA from 1 species